UCAAUCAAAACUACAGGGGGUGACCUAGCUCUUCUCCAAAACCCUAAUUCAUCAUAUUCUACUCAAAAUCAAAGAGAGAAACUAAAUUUCAAUCGAUUCCAAGCUAGAAUUGUGAUCCUACAAGUGAAUAGAUCACAAGGUAAAUUGGGUGGUUCGUCAAGUAGUCUAGGCGGCACAGAUAAUCGGUUAAAAGGAAGGCUUUAAAGGUAACUCAUGGAAUGGGUCGGAUGAAGAUCAAGCUAGUACGAGGACCGAACACACAAAUAACAAAGCUUUCGCAACUAAAUUAAGACCUUUGUUACUAAACUCGUUGGGGUAGUUUUGUCCAACUUAUGUAAAUAUUGUCUAAAUGUUUUGCAAGCUAAGGAAGUUUAGUUAUGACAAUAUGGUUUGAAACUUAGUAAACGCAUUUUGAAGGUUGUGAACUUUAUAUAAAGGUCAU